CUGCAGGCUGCACACUGGUGACAGAUGAUAUGAGCCUUGCUUCACAGUAUUCCUCAUCUAUAAAGGUUGGGGACAGAGAGGUCCUCUGGUUCAUCUGUGUUUUGGAUAGAUGGAAGCUACUGUCCUCAUCACUUUUGCUGGAAUGCGGCCACCAGAGGCCUCGGAUGUACUAACUGGAAAGAAACUACAUGGGAUGCUCCUACCUUCCAUAUGUAUAUGACUUUUUUGGAAUAUCCUUGUGUACUUAGUUCUUGCUAGGUCUUGUGGUGCAAAACAAAAUCAAGAAACCUAUGACAUGAUUCUUUGCUGAAGCUAAGAAAUAUUUUGGGAAACAUGGCAUUUUUACAAGAAACAGAGUAUGAUGUAAAACAGAUAA